GUUUUAUUCCAGUUCAUUGGGAUUUCCCCAAUAUUCACAGGUUAGAUCUAAGAAUUGUAGUUAAAAUAGAAACUCUAACCCCCCCCCAAUGCAUAAAAAAGGGCAAUGCAGAGCAAUAAAACAGAUGGAAAUGUGAAUUAAAGGGACAGUAUCUAGCAUUUCCCCUAACAUAUUCAGGUGUGACCCUAGUGGGGCGCUGUUGUGCCGGGGUAAUUAAAAAGACUUAUCUGCCUCUUUAAGAUUGGUAUAAAGUGGUCUAUAAAGCCUGAAUUGUCCUAGUCUAGAAUGCCCCUUCUGAACCAAUACUAUAGACUUUUUAAUUUCUAUUAUUUAUAUGGCAUUAAUUUAGUGGAGCCCACAAGGUCGCCUGUAGGUCGUUUUCUUUUUAACACCCCAUAAUGCACAUUAUUUGUAAUAAAUGAACAUGUUAACAUGCCACAUGGGCAGCUUGUAUAUUCCGUACAUUAAUGAUUAGGUUUAUAUCGGCCCUUUUACAUGCCACUGAAUAAGUUAAAGGGACGCCAACACUUUAGUGAGUGUUUAAAAAUCAGUAGCUUUAAUUAUUUUAGCCGCCCCCUAAGUACCCUUCCAUGCCUGAUCUGGUACAGGUUAAUGUUCAUGUCAUUAUGGAAUGAACAGGUUAAUGUACAUGUCAUUAUGGAAUGUGUUUCUGACACCCGGAUGACACUUCUUAAUCUCCCUACGCCAAAGCUAGGUUCAAAUUGGUGCACCGAAAGCUUGUGUUCAUAGAGGUAUAGUCUCUUUCUGCUUUUAUUAUUCCUCCUCACAUCCAAAAAAUGGGAAAAGAUAAAACUGUUACAUGAAAUAGCUCCAUGUUGCCGUUUAUGUAGUAUUCACUUGUUAUUGAAUUAGUUUCUUUUCUAUCAUUAAUGUAAGCUUCCAAAGAUAACUUACUAGACAGCAAAAAAUGAAUUGUAAAAUAUUGUAUUAAUAUUCAUUAAUUUAGUGGUUUUGUGAUGUCAUAUAUUUACCAAAUCGAUAUUGCUGCCGAAAGUGCCUUUCAGACAUUUUUUUUUUGUGUGAAAUAGAAUAAACCCGGGCUUCUCGCCACAGCUGUAAACCAGCGAACACUGGAGAUGCACGUUAUUAAAUGUAUAUAGUAAUUCAGGUUCAUCGGAAACGAAUAUAAACAUUUUAACCCCUUACUUGCCUGUGAGCUGGGCAGCCCUUGCUUCCUAUGCGUUUCUCAUCGCUUAGGCAAUGAAAGGGUUACCGUUUCCGAUCGUACGCCUGGGUGCAAGGAGCAUUAUAUCACAAAUCUUGCUUUUCAGACCCAUCGUGAAUUCCAGGAAUCGGUUUGAUGUUCAGGCAACGUAUGGAUAACAUGCUGAACUUUAUGUGUUUAUAAGCUUAUCAGCCUUGCUGGGAAUACUGAAAUAUUUAACCUUUUGCGUACCGGAGAGAUGAGCGCCGCAUUGCCUUUCCCUCCUGACAUUAAAAAAAGGUUUCUGGCCCUUUCACGGCUGGUUUUAUAAUGCUUUCUACAGACAUGAAAUAAUUUGUUUGCUCUUUUUGGUAAACCUGUGUUUAUAAACCAAGGUGGGUUUUGUAAACAGUUGUGUACAAACACUAUAUUGUAACGUAAUAAAAUAUUUCUGCAG